UGAGGAAUAUUGCACAAUGGGGGAAACCCUGAUGCAGCAACGCCGCGUGAGUGAUGAAGGCCUUCGGGUUGUAAAGCUCUGUCUUCAGGGACGAUAAUGACGGUACCUGAGGAGGAAGCCACGGCUAACUACGUGCCAGCAGCCGCGGUAAUACGUAGGUGGCAAGCGUUGUCCGGAUUUACUGGGCGUAAAGGGAGCGUAGGCGGAUACUUAAGUGGGAUGUGAAAUACCCGGGCUCAACUUGGGUGCUGCAUUCCAAACUGGGUGUCUAGAGUGCAGGAGAGGAAAGUGGAAUUCCUAGUGUAGCGGUGAAAUGCGUAGAGAUUAGGAAGAACACCAGUGGCGAAGGCGACUUUCUGGACUGUAACUGACGCUGAGGCUCGAAAGCGUGGGGAGCAAACA
rnacentral:rRNA from 1 species